AGAGAUGUUACAAUGUUGGGAUUCAAGUAUCAGAAGGUUCGCCGUGUUAUGUGGAUCUGUAAAAGCAGCAAAAAAUCAUGUGGCACCUUACAGACUAACAGAGGUA